AUAAACACACACAUACACAAACACACACACACACACUCACACUCACACUCACACUUCCUCCUCUAUAGUGUUGCUCGUAUGUUCAUGAGUUUAGGGCUUACCUACUAAGAACUGGACAAACUAUUAGGAAUCUCAUGCCUGGAGAAAACGGAUUCUCCAUUCUCAGCAGCCAUUGGUUGACUAUGGUCUUCAUCUAGGGGUGGGACUUGUGAACAGCCCCAUCUGUGCUGCUGUGGUGUCCACUGGCACUGUCAUCAUGCAGGUUGUCUGGACAAGCAUAAUUUUUGGACGUCAUGGUUGGAACUGCCUGCCGCGAUCAGAAGAAACUAUCUUGUAGCCAGUGUGCUGGCCCCAUGGCUUCUAUGCCCUUCCUGGAUCCUCUUCUAUGACAUUUCUUGAGCUUAGGAAUAGGGGUUGCAUUGUUGAUGAAACACCAUAGAAGUGUUUUGUGUCAUCUCAAAAGACUCAUGUAGGACAGACCUGAGGUAAAACCACCUGCUUCCUGAUGUCUGUUUCUGUAUUUCUUUCACAUUUUCUUUUGUUUAAAGCAAAACAAAAUGUUUUUGAAAGACAACUGUAGAGAUUACUGAGCAUAUUUUGUUUAUGAGGUGGCUUUUAUUUCAUCAUAACACAAAUCACAAAACUGUAUCAACGAUUGAAAAGCAUUGAAGGCUGAGUAAGUGAAACAUAUCCUCUAGUUGAGAAAGGUGAUGGGCAAGUUACUGGUUUAAACUUCAGAUUGACCUCCAUUUGAAAUACUUAGAUGCCAGCGCUCCCCCGACAGAUGGCUACAGGGAACCAUGUGAUUGUGAAGCCAGGCAUGGAAUCUUCAAUUGAUUGCUCUGUGACUGUAGUGAGCUCUUUAAGAAGAAUCUUUAUCUCCAGUCUUGACAAUGACACUGAAGAAAUGAAUCCCUGAAUUUUAGUUGCAGACCAUAUGAGUGCCUGUUGACAUUGUGACGUAACCCUCCUCCUGAUUACCAGCAACCUUUGUGAGGUAGCAGGUAGACCCUGAAUGUGAUGGAGAAUCAUGUGUGCUCGACUAAACUAUCCUGGUCUGUCCCUCAGAGAAGGGAUCUGAAGAAUGAGCCAACCACCAUACAAAAUCCUCAGACCCAUAGACGCUUCAGAGCAGAGUGUGGCCCACAACCAAGGUUUGGGCCCUGCUGCGGCUCAUUCUGCAUGCAAGUGGAAGACUGAAGGAGAGCCGCUCUUCAGGCUCCAUUAUGAAGUCUCAACACCGGUGAGCAACGUACCAUGCAACUGUGCAGAAUUAUGCUGGGAUCGCGCAAGGCACAAUCGAUAGUUUCCAGAAUGCUUUGCUGUUUAAAGUGCUUCAUGACUACUGUUAUGUCAAGCUUGACUGCAUGGAAACAAGCUAAACCCAGCAGAAGGGUCUUAAAGUAGGUCAGAUUUUUAUCACUGACAAUAGAUGAGAAAAAAAAACCUUCACUUUUCUAUUCUGUCGUUCUGCCUUCCCAAGACAGUAAGUUCUAUUGAAGUCUUAAUCAUGUCUAGUACCUCAUAGGGAACGAGGAAGGCAAACGGGUCACCACGCAAUGAUGACGUCUCCUGUCAGUACCAUAAUGACGAGGGGUUGAUCCACACCAUUGGGAAGAUAUUGGCAAAGGUUUCAGAAGAAUGUUCACAUGCAUGGAAUAGUUUCCCAAUUCGGAGAUCCCCUGUGGACACAGACAUAGAGUCCCUUCCCCUUUUUAACUUUCUCAAUAAAUUUUGAAAUGAUGCUUUAUUUAGCGUUCAUUUCACAUUUAUUUAUUUACCAUCUUUUUUAAAGUUUCUCUGGCAUUUGGGGCUAAAGACUGGCACAAUCCCUGGCCUGCCCAGCUCCUAGCCUGUAUCCAGCCUUCACAAAUGUGCCCCACAAGAACAAGUGAGGCUCAUCAAGCAGACGUAUGAAAUGCUCGAGGUUUUCUAUAAACUUUUUUUUUCCUGAUUAGAUAUAUUCUUUGAAAAUGUCACGAUUUAUAGAAUGCAUUCGCGUCAUAUCCCCACCUCGUUCAUUUUCCUCAAAUACAAGUGUGCUCAUAACACCGACGCUAUAAAAAAUGUUUCUCUAUUACACUGAGUUCUUCCGUAAGUUGAGGCUAUUUGUUCAUUCGAGUAAACGAAAAAUUUUGAAACAGUCUCACUUAAAAAGCAAUGAACAGAAUCUCCUUCGGUGAGGGACAUGGCUGUCUGGUGUCUUCACCUCAGCCUACGUUCCUGAGGUCAUGGGCUUCCUCCGUGCGCUGGUGUUUUAUAUUCAUGCUCUCCGCUGAGGAGCUUCUUUCUAAUGGCUUCGCGGUGCUUAUUUUGCAGUUCUGUCGGGGACAACUAAAUGACAUCUAGACUGGAGUUACAAGGAACCUUGCUUUCAGGAAAGCAAGUAGAAGCUCGCUGGAAAAUAACAGGCUCUACAAACUACCCGGUUAUUUCCUUGCUUUUUGUUUUUAGAGUCCCCAGCCCCUGGGGUAGGAAGACCCGGAGCCCUUGAUUCAGGCUCCGAGGACUCCGAGGCUGUGCCCACCAAGUACUGUGAAGCUUCGAUUCACGUGCUCUAUUUAUCUGCGGCAUGUACGCCAUUUUAAUCUAAGACUUUGGUUUAAUUCAGAUCUUGUAACCUCAGAGUGUCCCAUUUAUCUACACUGAUCUCCCAAUUCAGUCGGAAUUAAUCAACACUGUGAGGCUCGCAGAGAGCACGGUGCAGUCCAGUUCUCCCAAAUUAUUCACCAGUCCCACCUUUACUGUAGUGUCCCCAAAUCAACAGACUUCUGCCUUUGAAUCAGUCCUCUUUGCCACAGGCAACGGAAAACGUCGACUUGGUAGAAAUGCGAAUUGCAAUGGACGUGAUGAGAAGAUAUCUUCAUAACCACACGGCCUGAUGAGGCUCGAUGAAAAUGUAAUGGACAAUUUGGUCCCGCAGAGCAAGCUCCAUACGGACCGGACCACAGAGACGCGGUUUCUCUGCUACCUUCCUCAUCAACGGCUGUAUCUCACCAACAAGAGGUUGUAACCCUGGCUUUACCCUAAAUCCUUCCAUCAGAUCCACAAGGAGGUAGCCAGAAAGCCGCUUAAGUGGAGGGAGCGCUGCGUGUCAGCAGAUCAGAAGUGCUAAUCCGUAGAACCAGAGCUGUUCCAGGCACUACAUCUUUAUUGGCGUGCCAGGCCUGGCUGCAUGGAAAUGAGCUGAACCCAAGAGAAGGGUCCCGAAGUAGGUCAGACAUUUAUCAUCGACAGUAGAUGGGAAAGUCACUUUUUUAUUUGUCCAUUUAUUUCCCAGAGAGUAAGUUCCAUUGAACAUGAAGCCGGCCGUGAUUAUAAUAGCCAUUUUAUCUUCCAACUGAGGAGGAGGGCUUGGACACAGUGCAUUUACAGGCUGCUCUCAAGGCUCCCAGGGAACUUUCACAAACCACAUCCUCCAGAACGUGUCCCUGGUCGAGUUUAACAGUGAUUGGUGUCACCUUCUGGAACCCAAAAGUGAUGCUGUAACCAUUUAUGACAUUUAAGAGCCUACAUUCUUUCUUUGGGGUGUUGUGGGGUGGCGGUUGUAUGUUUACAGUAAAGAAACUACGGAAUUAGUUCCAAGUACUUUUGAAGUACAUCAAAGCCUAAGUUCUUUCAGGUUAGCAACCGUGUGUAUGUGUGAUCUGGCUUUCGAAGACAUAGCUCACGGGUGCGUACUUUGCGGAUAUAGCACACAGGCGCUUACUGUACAUCCAGCGGCUAGAGGUCUAUGACAGAAGUGAAUUUGAACCCCAUCUCCCACUGGCUUUGCAGCUCCGUGCAGCUCAUUGCACAGCCUGUGCUGUGGAUUUGCCAUCUCUGCAGCAAAGGGGACAAUGUGGCAAUUGUAACACUCGAACUUGGACCUUAAGAGGAUAAAAUAACAUUAUUGGCCUAGAGGACGUGGUUAACAAACACUGGAUAUCAUUGCUCCGUUAAAUUCUCUGGAGUCUGGAGGAAAUGAGCAUGAGGCUAACCGUCCCUUUAUGAGAAAUGCUUAUGGUCAUUGAGGCAGGACAUAGAAAUGCAGCAGGGAGAAUUAUAGAACGGCUCGUGUUCUGCUGGGUAGAAGUUAAGCUUAAUCAUGUGCCCAGUAAUGCAGGCAGCUGAAGUGCAGAACUAAUUACGUAGGACAGUCAUCGAGGGCUGCAGGAGUGGGCACAGCUCUGACUUCAUCUCGGAGGACUGUUCCUCAGAGAACGGAGAUUCAGCAGACCCCUCUCAGACAGGAAAGGGACAGAGCACAUCCGCGGUCUUGUCCUGUGUAUAUGACUGAGUGCGGUGGUGUACUGAAUUGUUGGAAGAUGGUUACCUUCGUGCACAGUGCUCAAGUAAUGAUGAUGGCAGACAACUUGGAAUAUAUAUAUGAAAAGAAACAAGUUGGGGAGUGUUUGCUCAUAAAGUUUACAGCUCACAAUAUCGGCAACAAGACAUCAAAGGCACAAUGGGAAGAUACUUUAGAAUCAGGACGUUGUUCCCCCACUAGUACUGACUACCUUUUUGUUUCUCUAGUGCAAGAAUUGUUUUCUGAAAUGUUUCUAAUCAUUACAGGAGGCCGCUUCUUAAUCCAGGGCACUUUAAAUAUCUCAGAACAUUAGUGGAAGACUCGAUUUGCCUGUUCAUAGACAGUAUUCAUAUACUGAAUACUAAUGCGUACACACGCCAGGAGCAGCGCUGUUGACACAAAGGCACGCAUCGACAGUGAGGAUCUCGACGUCAAGAAGAUCGAAGUGACAUUUCUAGCUCGGCGAUGACAGGCACCAUUGUGUCUGGAACCCACAAGUUCAGAUCACUGUGAGCCUUGCCCAUCUGGUUUCUUGUUGGCAUUAAGAUACAGUGUGUGAAGGAUGUUCUUGGAGAAUAUUAAAAUCCUGGAAGAAACACCACCAAGCUUCUGGCUUAGUGUGGUAAAAGACAAGCUGCAACCUGAUCAAGUUAUUCUGGAAAACAUCUGCACAAGCCCUAACUAUCUGUCAGAUACACAGGGCUCGACACAGCUGACUAGGAACAAAUCCUGCUCCACACCUCUGGUGUUUUUAUGGUGCGCCACCUCCCACAGUGUGCCUUGUUCAGUCUGUCAUUGCUUUCUGCAUGAAAACUCAUUCUGUUUCUCUCCUGCUGCUGGUGAGUAAACUCCCUGAUGCGUUUGCAAUUUAUUGUGAUCUAUUUCCCCCAUUCCAAUAGAAAUAAAUCUCACAAACCUUCUCAUAGUGACCAAAGUGGAAGACUAUAAAGAUUAAGAAUGAUGUCAGUGAUAAGCACAGGGUGGUUACUAAUUUAGUGGUGUGUGACACUAAACCUCUUAUUGGUAACAUUUUAAUAUUGGAUAUAUUGAACAAAACUUGUAAUCAGAAGCCGUUGGCAAACAGCACCCGUGAGAUAGCGCAGUUAGUUGGUUUCCUUUUUCUUCUGUGACUUAUGCUUUUAUCAAAUCUACUAAAUAUGUUUUUUGUUUUGCCUUGCAAACUAUGUUCUCUAAGCUGUGGCACAAGGAAUCUGGUGUGGAAGUCACAAAAAGAUGCUUGAUCUGUGAUGGAGGAGUAUCUGGAAGAAUUAGGAUCCAAUCACAUAUUUCUUCAUUCCUUGUGAGUUUUGCUAUAGUUCUGCUAUAGCACCCUCUGUCCUUCAUCAGAUAGAAUGACCCACACAGCAUGAACAUAUGUGAGAGUCAAUAUUGAUCGCCACCUUGACAAAAAGCCUCCUAGAAUGCCAAUGAGAAAUUACUAUUUACAUUAAUGACUGGUCUACAUCAAUCGAGGUGGGAAGAGGUUGAGAGCACAAGCACUCACUCCUCUCUCCUUUCAGAAUGCAGAUGUAAUUAUUCCAGCUGUUUUAUGCUCUUCACGCCAUAACAUCUUUGUCAGGAAUGAGAAGAGCCUUAGAUUAUGAGUUAGAUAGACCCUUCCUUACUCCCCUAAACAGUUGGGGAGAAAAGGGUUUGCUCAACUUACACUUCCA
rnacentral:sRNA from 1 species